rnacentral:rRNA from 1 species
GACGAACGCUGGCGGCGUGCUUAACACAUGCAAGUCGAACGGAAAGGCCCUGCUUUUGUGGGGUGCUCGAGUGGCGAACGGGUGAGUAACACGUGAGUAACCUGCCCUUGACUUUGGGAUAACUUCAGGAAACUGGGGCUAAUACCGGAUAGGAGCUCCUGCUGCAUGGUGGGGGUUGGAAAGUUUCGGCGGUUGGGGAUGGACUCGCGGCUUAUCAGCUCGUUGGUGGGGUAGUGGCUUACCAAGGCUUUGACGGGUAGCCGGCCUGAGAGGGUGACCGGCCACAUUGGGACUGAGAUACGGCCCAGACUCCUACGGGAGGCAGCGGUGGGGAAUAUUGCACAAUGGGCGGAAGCCUGAUGCAGCAACGCCGCGUGCGGGAUGACGGCCUUCGGGUUGUAAACCGCUUUCGCCUGUGACGAAGCGUGAGUGACGGUAAUGGGUAAAGAAGCACCGGCUAACUACGUG